rnacentral:rRNA from 1 species
AUUGAACGCUGGCGGCAUGCUUUACACAUGCAAGUCGAACGGUAACAGGCCGCAAGGUGCUGACGAGUGGCGAACGGGUGAGUAAUGCAUCGGAACGUGCCCAGUCGGGGGGGAUAACUGCUCGAAAGAGCAGCUAAUACCGCAUACGAUCUAUGGAUGAAAGCGGGGGACCGUAAUGCCUCGCGCGAUUGGAGCGGCCGAUGUCAGAUUAGGUAGUUGGUGGGGUAAAGGCUCACCAAGCCAACGAUCUGUAGCUGGUCUGAGAGGACGACCAGCCACACUGGGACUGAGACACGGCCCAGACUCCUACGGGAGGCAGCAGUGGGGAAUUUUGGACAAUGGACGCAAGUCUGAUCCAGCCAUGCCGCGUGCGGGAAGAAGGCCUUCGGGUUGUAAACCGCUUUUGUCAGGGAAGAAAUCUUCUGGGUUAAUACCUCGGGAGGAUGACGGUACCCGAAGAAUAAGCACCGGCUAACUACGUGCCAGCAGCCGCGGUAAGAC